AUAUCUACAUAUGUAGAUUAGAAACUUUCGGUCGGGUUCAGUUUAAUUUUGAUCGGGUUAGUUAAUACAUUGUUGAGUCUUUUGAUCAGCAUGGACAUGGUUUGAUGUGUGUUCGGUACCACAUAACAUGCGAGAAUACCUUCUCCGGUAUGUUGGAGAGAAGAUUAGCAAGAAAAAAUCGCGUGAGAAAAUGAGAAGUUGACAGAAAAAGAUUUUUUUCAUUAUCGAAAGGGACAUGUACAACAUCCAUAAUGGUGUGUCUGAUGGAAUUUGUCAUUUCAUUAAUAAAAAAUGCUGAUAAAGAUGCAAACUUAGCAAUUGUGCCUAAAAAGUGACAGCUUUGACAAAGAAAUAUAUCCAUAUAUAACAGUUACUGGUACUGUAUGAAUGCAGUGAAAGGAUCCAGAUGAACAAAUGAAGAGAUUAAGUACAAUGUACAUCAAUUACUUGGAUGAAGAGAAUCUGCAACAUGGGGAAAUAAUGUUCCUAUAGAAAAGUCAAAGAAUGUAUACAUGUGAGAUUCUGAAGUAGCCGUACAUGAUGAGUAGGAAUUUGAAGUGAAUUAUGGGAAAAGUGAAAUGGUAAAAAAGAAACUGCUAGCGCUACUGUGCAGACUACCAUCAAUCAACAUGAUCAACAAAAUCAAGUAAUCCUUCUGAAGAUGGAGUAGUACACAAGCACAAUUUUUUAAAGAAAGAAAAGUCAAUGGAAUGAAGAAAAGGUGAAGUGAAUUGUCACUCAUUAUAUUUUAAAUUUAAUGUGGACAUGGUCAUUAUUUUAGUUAUGUCAUAACCUUCUUAUCAAUUUUAAGCAGUGCAGACAGAUGCAUUUCUUAUUGCUUUGAAUAGAAUAAAUUAUCAAAAAAGUUUGUAUAUGUUUUUUGAUAUAGAAUUUAUAUUAAAAAAAAAAUUAUC